AAGUCGUAACAAGGUCUCCGUUGGUGAACCAGCGGAGGGAUCAUUAACGAGUUUCGUACUCCAAACCCUUUGUGAACAUACCUGUUUCGUUGCUUCGGCAGGCCCGGGGGUCACUCCCCGGCCCGCCGCCGGCCCCCUCUCCGGGGCGCCUGGCGGGCCUGCCGGAGGGCACAGACUCUGUAUUUCAAAACGUACCUCUCUGAGUUAUCUUUACAAAUAAGUAAAAACUUUCAACAACGGAUCUCUUGGUUCUG
rnacentral:misc_RNA from 1 species